rnacentral:rRNA from 1 species
AUGCCAGCAGACCAACCUUCCCUCGGCGAUGGCCGCCACCCCCACAUCCUCUUGGAUAAGAAGUGCCUAAUCGGCUAUUUGGAAAACUCCACCACCGCAAAAACCAGAAACAGCCAAGGACUCGACGUCGAGGUCUCCUUCAAAACAGCCGAUCCCCCGGCCAUCUCACUGUGCUUUGCACGCUGCGUCGAUCAUCAGACCGGGAAGAGUUUGGUUGCGGAGCCUUUUAUACUUGGCAUAGCCGGAAGGUUCGUGCUGCUGGCUAUCACUUUCUUGGACAGCGCCAACCAUUAUCGGCGGUUCCUCGACUAUUUCGUCUACAAGGCAGCAGGGCCAGGUUCCGCCUCUCUCCAUCUUCUUCCAAGGCCCUAUCCGUCUUCUUUCUCGCGAAAUUUGGUCGCCGUCUUGCCUGUCACUGACAACAACAGCGAAGAAGACUUUGCUGUCGUUUUCCCUCAUGUUGGAUAUAUCGUGCCCGAGUCUCGCAGACAUUACGCGCUCCACAUCUACCGCUCCGACAUGAAUGCUUGGCACUCUCAGACGGCUUAUGUUGCCAAGGAGGAUGGUGAAACAAGGAAUGCUAAACAUAAGCUAUCGGUUCAUAAUGCCAUGAGCGUGGCAUAUGUAGAAAAGGGUGUCGUAGGCUGGAUCGAUCUUUGGUGGGGAAUUCUCUUAUGCAAUGUUUUGGACAGCAAGCCUAUCAUCCGUUUCAUCCCAUUGCCAAUACCGGAACCGUGUGAUCCCUCUGAGUUCCACUUGACGUUUGAGGAUUUCACCCCAAGACCACACCGUCAUGUCACGAUAUGCCAUGGUUUGAUCAAGUUUGUUGGGUUAAAUUUUCAUGCGGAUAACGCUAUUCGCAACAUGAAGCGAGCACAAGAUCAUGGUUGGACGGCUACUACAUGGACCAGAUCAAUCUAUUCAGAUGAUGUUUGGCAUGAUGGCAUGACGAUUGAUACGUCUGAGAUAUAUUUCACCGACUCGAGUUUGCCGAGUCUUUUGCCUGGGAUGUUUGAUGAGGAAAACAAUUUGACAUGGGGGAAAUUCACCACUGCAGGCCCUACAUUAAGUUUGCUCGAUGACGAUAUUAUGUACAUUAUGGCGAAGGAGAGCAUGUGCCAUCAGACAGCAUAUGUACUCGCUGUCAACACCAAAAGUUUGAAGCUCGAAUCUGGUGCGCAAUGUUCUGCUCAAAAGAUGAGGUGGUUUGAACCCACCUAUGAGCCCUGUCUUCUUCUUAGCUCUUUUGGUACGACUUCAGAGUUGGUUAAGGAAUUUGAAACCAAAGCGACAAUAAUGGAAACCAAGGAGGGACCGAUCCUGUCGGUGUUGUCCAGGCGUCUCCACGCGCUGCGGAAGCAGCAGAAUCGCAUCGCGCGGACGGAAGAGUCUAUCGCGGCCGGCAUGACGCUUAGCCAGGAGCAGAAGGAGGCGAUGCGCUCCAAGCCUGUCCUCGCCGCCGUCAUUGACGAGCUCGAGCGCCUCCGCGCACCACUCGCCGCCGCCCUCGCCGAGGAGCUCUCCACCAUCUCCGCCCCUGCUGCCGGUUCCUCGUCCAUCUAG